GAUGAACGCUGGCGGCGUGCCUAAUACAUGCAAGUCGAGCGAACGGACGAGAAGCUUGCUUUUCUGAUGUUAGCGGCGGACGGGUGAGUAACACGUGGAUAACCUACCUAUAAGACUGGGAUAACUUCGGGAAACCGGAGCUAAUACCGGAUAAUAUUUUGAACCGCAUGGUUCAAAAGUGAAAGACGGUCUUGCUGUCACUUAUAGAUGGAUCCGCGCUGCAUUAGCUAGUUGGUAAGGUAACGGCUUACCAAGGCAACGAUGCAUAGCCGACCUGAGAGGGUGAUCGGCCACACUGGAACUGAGACCCGGUCCAGACUCCUCCGGGAGGCAGCAGUAGGGAAUCUUCCGCAAUGGGCGAAAGCCUUACGGAGCAACGCCGCGUGAGUGAUGAAGGUCUUCGGAUCGUAAAACUCUGUUAUUAGGGAAGAACAUAUGUGUAAGUAACUGUGCACAUCUUGACGGUACCUAAUCAGAAAGCCACGGCUAACUACGUG
rnacentral:rRNA from 1 species